CAAAAAAUAGUUUAAUAAAAACAUUAAUUUUGGAGAUUAAAAUUAUAAAUUAGUUUAUUUUUUUGA
rnacentral:tRNA from 1 species